GCGAGUCUUUGUAGUAAUACGAGGCAGACGGCUCAGUAACACGUAGUCAACCUACCCUAUGGACGAGAAUAAUCUCGGGAAACUGAGCAUAAUUCUUGAUAGAUCAUAAUGCCUGGAAUGGUUUAUGGUUAAAAUGAUUCGUCGCCAUAGGAUGGGACUGCGGCCUAUCAGCUUGUUGGUGAGGUAAUGGCCCACCAAGGCGAUUACAGGUACGGGCUCUGAGAGGAGAAGCCCGGAGAUGGGUACUGAGACACGGACCCAGGCCCUAUGGGGCGCAGCAGGCGAGAAAACUUUGCAAUGUGCGAAAGCACGACAAGGUUAAUCCGAGUGAUUUCUGCUAAAGAAAUCUUUUGCCAGUCGUAAAACCGCUGGUGAAUAAGGGGUGGGCAAGUUCUGGUGUCAGCCGCUGCGGUAAAACCAGCACCUCAAGUGGUCAGGAUGAUUAUUGGGCCUAA
rnacentral:rRNA from 1 species